AUGGGGCACCCGCCGCUGGAGUUCAGCGACUGCUACCUGGACAGCCCCGACUUCCGAGAGCGGCUCAAGUGCUACGAGCAGGAGCUGGAACGGACCAACAAGUUCAUUAAGGAGGUCAUUAAGGACGGCAACGCGCUCAUCGCCGCCAUACGGGGUUACUCGUCGGCAGUACAGAAAUUCUCCCAGACUUUGCAGUCCUUUCAGUUCGACUUCAUUGGUGACACACUAACGGACGAUGAGAUCAAUAUUGCCGAGUCCUUUAAGGAGUUUGCAGAGCUGCUCCACGAGGUAGAGCUGGAGAGGUCCAUGAUGGUGCAGAAUGCUAGUGAUUUGCUGAUCAAACCUUUGGAAAACUUUCGGAAGGAGCAAAUAGGGUUCACCAAGGAAAGAAAGAAAAAGUUUGAGAAGGAUGGUGAGAAGUUUUAUUCUAUGCUGGAUCGCCAUUUGCAUUUGUCUUCCAAAAAGAAGGAAUCCCAAUUACAGGAGGCUGACCUUCAGGUUGACAAAGAGAGACACAAUUUCUUUGAGUCCUCCCUGGAGUAUGUGUACCAGAUCCAGGAAGUACAAGAAAGCAAGAAAUUCAGUAUUGUUGAACCGGUGCUGGCUUUUCUCCACAGCCUCUUUACUUACAACAACCUGACAGUUGAGCUCACGCAGGAUUUCCUCCCUUAUAAACAGCAGCUUCAGCUCAGCCUCCAGAAUACAAGGAAUCACUUCUCCAGCACGCGGGAGGAGCUGGAAGACCUGAAGAAGAGGAUGAAGGAAGCUCCCCUGACCUGCAAGCUACCUGGGCAGCCGACCAUUGAGGGCUAUCUGUACACUCAGGAGAAAUGGGCGCUGGGCAUCUCCUGGGUGAAAUACUACUGCCAGUAUGAAAAGGAGGCAAAAACCUUGCGGAUGACGCCCACGGACCAGAAGCCUGGAGCUAAGCAAGGCACCUUAGACCUGACCCUGAAAUCCUGUGUAAGGAGAAAGACGGACUCUAUAGACAAAAGGUUCUGUUUUGACAUUGAAACUAAUGAAAGGUCUGGGACCAUCACACUGCAGGCCCUCUCGGAGGCCAAUCGAAGGCUGUGGAUGGAAGCCAUGGACGGGAAGGAGCCGAUCUACCACAGUCCCAUCACAAAACAGGAAGAAAUGGAGCUGAACGAGGUCGGCUUCAAGUUUGUACGGAAGUGCAUCAACGCGGUGGAAACGAAAGGGAUUACUACGGAGGGCAUCUACCGGACCGUGGGCAGCAAUAUUCAGGUGCAGAAGUUGCUGAACGCCUUUUUUGAUCCAAAGUGUCCAGGGGACGUGGAUCUCCAAAGCGGCGAUUGGGACAUCAAGACGAUUACCAGCUCACUGAAGUUUUAUCUCAGGAACCUGUCUGAACCCGUCAUGACCUACAAGCUCCACAAAGAGUUGGUCCUGGCUGCCAAAUCUGAGAACCUGGAUUACAGGCUGGGAGCCAUUCACGCUCUGGUCUAUAAACUACCUGAGAAGAACAGAGAGAUGUUAGAGCUCCUCAUACAACACCUCGUCAACAUAUGUGAGCACAGCCGAGAGAAUCUGAUGUCACCGUCUAACAUGGGGGUGAUAUUUGGCCCUACCCUCAUGCGAGCACAGGAGGACACCGUGGCAGCGAUGAUGAACAUCAAGUUCCAAAACAUAGUGGUUGAGAUCCUCAUCGAGCACUUUGGGAAGAUCUACUCUGGACCCCCAGAAGACACCACGCCCCCCCCGGUGCCUCCUCCCAGGGUGGCUGCCCGGCGGCACAAACCCAUCACCAUUUCCAAACGUCCUCUGAGGGAAAGACCCGUCUUCUUCGGUGCUUCUGUGGAAGACAGUGGAGCAGAUCGGCACGGCCAGACCCCCAAUGGCAGCAACAGUGUGGGCAUGGAGGCCCCCAAACCCCUGCACCGCAGCCGCCUGCCCGCACCCCGACUGGGGGGGGACGAUCCAGGGCGUCCCCCCACCGAGGGCCGGCCGGACCCACGCGCCGAGUUGGAGGUGGGGAAGCUGGUGGCCAGGCUGCAGGAUGGAGGGGCGAAGCCGGCCACCAAGGCUGCCAACGGGGUGGUGACCAGCCCUGCCCUGAGGACCUCCACGCUCCAGGCCAGGAGACCGGCUCCGCGGCCGGGGAUCUACGGCAGAGAGGGCGAGUACGAUGGUGUCCCUAAGCCCCGAGCCCAUGGCGAUAAACCCGUGAUAAUGCGCCCCCCCGUGAGACCUCCGGACCCACCAUGCAGGACUCCUGUCCCUCCAAAACUGGAGCAGAGGCCAGAUCUGAUAGCAGGGACAGCAGAAGAGAUGCCUUCAUCUGUAGUGGCCUCUAGGACAAAGUUCUUUGAGACAGCUUCCCGAAGAACAAGCAAGUAAGCCUGGCACUGGGAAGUUGGCAUUUAAAUGUGUAGGGUGCUUCCUCUGAAGCAGAUUCUUCAUCACCACAAGGCAGGAUCCCAGGUGAUGAGAGCUGAGGCUAAAGACUUUGUAACCACCUCAGCCCAGCUAAACCCAGGAGAUUUUCUGCGCUGGUGAAACGACGUGUCACAGCUAAGACUUUCCCAGUUCCAGUGCCCCUGGAGAGCAGCUAUCUUACCGGACGAUAAUUUCAGAGCACGCUGUCACAAGUGGCUCAAGAAAUUAGAGGGGAGGGAGAUGAUGGACAGAAGACCCUACCCACACCUUUGUGUUGAACUGUUCCUGGUCCUUCCACCACUCUGCGCAGGCUGUGGGGGAUGCUCCUGUGUGUCCUGGCAGGCGACCAGCUGGGUGAGCACCGACGGGCUGUGGAAGGGACAGCAGAGGAUGGGAGUCACCAUUGACCUGCUCACUUUUUGGGAGAUGCACCUUGAUGAGGGUGAGCUUGGACAGACAUUGGAGUCAAAAAUGCAAGGGGCUGACUCCCCGUGCUUGGAUGCAAGGGCAGAGUGACUGGACUUUGGGUUGGCCCACCCCUUGCCGUAAGAAGCUCCUUACUUUAUGUUAUGUUUUCUUGCUCAGUUAAGCUAUAGUGUGUUUUUCAGUUUGUAGGAGAGCAGUGUGUGUUACUGGAAACACUGCUUGUGCUAAGGCAGGCGGGACAGGAAUCGGGGGGGCCAUUGCACUUAGUUCUGUCUCUUCCUUUUCCCCCUGGCAUAAACAUUCUCCUGUCCUGGGAAACCACGCUGGCAGACAUGGCUGUGCCAGGCAACAUCCCCUGCCUGUGGGUCGGCUUUCUGGACAGCCCUGGUCUUGUCAGCAGCCUCCAAGAAGCUUGGAGAAGGAGGUGGCAGGCUCUCCUCCUCCUCCUCUGCCUCCUCCUCCUCCCACAUGAGCCACUCUCCCACCACUCUUCCCACAGGCCCACCAAGAAGUCUUUGUCCUGGGGUUAUUCUGGUGGAGCAGCACAGAAGUGGUGAGGAACUGAAACUCGCUGAAUAUGGGCCAAAUCCCACUAUUUUUCUAAGAGGCGCCCCAUUUCUCGUUUGCUUGUUCCAUUAAUUUCCAAUCCAAGAGGUGUCCAACUCUUUUCCUCAGCAGCAGCCGCUUAGAUGAUGCCCUUUAUUCUGGACAGUUUCUCCAUGCCAGGACCACCCCUCGUGCUCCUCUUAACAGUAGAGGCUUAUUUGUGGGACCAGCUGACACCAGGGCUGGAGCAUUUACCUGUAAAUAGGCAACGUGCAGCUUUCCUUCUUCCUCUCCCCAGCCCAAAGGCAGCUUCCCACAUUUUGAAUGAUUUUCCUCGGGUGCUGGGAGCAUUUUCCCAAACCAGUGGCUCGACCAUCCCCAAUAGCUGCUUCCUGGGAGCUCCCCUCUUUCCAGCGUGCUUCGUGUCCUGCCCGGCGCAGGUUUGCUGGUGGGAUGCUGUCACCCAUCUUCCCCAGGCUGUCUCCAGACACUUGCCUCGUGUGUGCAUCUCUGCUUUAUUGCUGAAUGUAAUUCUGGCGUUGGCUGUUACACACACAGCGUCGUGUCAACGGUGCUCCCGCUCCCUCGGGCUUUGGCGGUGCCCCAGCUGCUGCCCCCCCUCCCCCACAGUGGCAGGUAAAAGUGGCUUUAAAAACAAAAAAAAAUACAAACAAAGCAGUGCUGUUGCCGCUUAGACUGUGUUACGCACACUGGCAUCUCAGGGCUUUGGAAAGCUACGGUGAGCCCUUUCUGCUGCACCUUCUUGUGAGCAUCUGGGAGGUGUGAGCAGCACAUCGUGUUUUUCUCAUCAUGGGGGGAGCAAAGCUGUGAGCCAGCCAGUCUGAAGGAGGGAGAGAGGUGCCCUGACCAGCCCAGAAGGGCUGUGAUUGAUUGCUGGGGAAGCCUCUCCAUCAGCCAGGCAAUGGAGGCCACUGAUCUCCUUCUGGCAGGUACUGGCCGGUCCUUUGGUGGCUUUGUCACCUCUUGGGGUGGCUGUCCCAGAGGUGUGAGACCAGGGCUUCCUCCACAGAAAGCCAACGUUUCCCAAAAUGCCUUCCCCUCUCUGGGCUGUGCGUUGAAGACCCCUCGAGGCUGUUGGUUUGGGAAGCAACCAGCUUCCACGGACACGGGUGGCUCUGGUGGUGGCACCCCUUGUGCUGUGCAGUGCCUGGUCCCCGUCCCAUUGGACUGGGUGGCUGUUGCACCCCCUACACCCCUCCUCUACAGUCAGCCUCACGGUCCUGGGGGAUGGAGCUGGGGUCCGUGGGAAGAGAGAAACCCGAGGGAGUUUGGUUUAAAGUUUGACAUCGUGAACAAUGGAAGGAAGCAGUUUAUUAGAUACGUAUUUCAUUGUGUCCUUUUUUUUUUUAAGUCGUUUGUCAUAUGUGUAUCUGUGCUGGUUUUCCCCUCCUCCGUGCCGAACGCUGGGGACCAACAGUGGUGGUGGGAUGUUUGGCCCCUGCUGCCAGUGCCACUGGAGCCACACAGCUGGGAACACGGGAUGCUCCCCGUGCGGCACGGCGGGGCCCCCAGACAUCAGCCAUCAGAGCCGUUUUGUCACGUUAAAAGCAUAGAUUCCUUCAAGUGUUUAUAAAGUUUCCAUGAAGUUAAAAAAAAA